rnacentral:rRNA from 1 species
UACAGAGGGUGCAAGCGUUAAUCGGAAUUACUGGGCGUAAAGCGUGCGCAGGCGGUCUGCUAAGAGAGGUGUGAAAUCCCCGGGCUUAACCUGGGAACUGCGCUUCUAACUGGCAGGCUAGAGUGUGGCAGAGGGGGGUGGAAUUCCACGUGUAGCAGUGAAAUGCGUAGAGAUGUGGAGGAACACCGAUGGCGAAGGCAGCCCCCUGGGCUAACACUGACGCUCAUGCACGAAAGCGUGGGGAGCAAA